rnacentral:rRNA from 1 species
CAGCACGGGAAUACGUAGGUGGCAAGCGUUGUCCGGAAUUAUUGGGCGUAAAGCGCGCGCAGGCGGAUAGGUCAGUCUGUCUUAAAAGUUCGGGGCUUAACCCCGUGAUGGGAUGGAAACUGCCAAUCUAGAGUAUCGGAGAGGAAAGUGGAAUUCCUAGUGUAGCGGUGAAAUGCGUAGAUAUUAGGAAGAACACCAGUGGCGAAGGCGACUUUCUGGACGAAAACUGACGCUGAGGCGCGAAAGCCAGGGGAGCGAACGGGAUUAGAUACCCGGGUAGUCCCUGUCUCUUAUACACAUU